GACAGAGGAUGCAAGCGUUAUCCGGAAUGAUUGGGCGUAAAGCGUCUGUAGGUGGCUUUUUAAGUCCGCCGUCAAAUCCCAGGGCUCAACCCUGGACAGGCGGUGGAAACUACCAAGCUGGAGUACGGUAGGGGCAGAGGGAAUUUCCGGUGGAGCGGUGAAAUGCGUAGAGAUCCGGAAGAACACCGGUGGCGAAGGCGGUCUGCUGGGCAGUAGCUGACACUGAGGCGCGACAGCGUGGGGAGCAAACAGG
rnacentral:rRNA from 1 species